rnacentral:lncRNA from 1 species
AUUAGAUGGAUCUGGUUUUUGUGAAGCAAUUAAGGUAAAGCAAUUACUUGACAAUUUGCUUGGUCUCCGAUCCUUUUCAAAUUCCCAUAUAUUGAAAAGCUUCUUAAAAGUUAAAAUAUUAUUUUAAAAAAGUAUCACAAACAAUUCUAAUUAUAUACAAAAUUUUGCCCAACACUGCCUACCAGUAACAGCAGCAAUGCGAUUAUCGGAUUUUCUAAAUCCAUGACCUAAGUUCAUUUAUUACGGAGUUGUCUCGCAACUUUCCGAUAAGCGUUGACUUGUUAAAACGAAACUAUAUUUCCUACGAUCUUUGUGACUGCAUUUAAUUCAUCUACAAUAUUUCGUCAUUUUUCAAUAUAAGGAGAAGCAACUAAAAACUACUAACAGACCUCAGAAGCAAGGUCAAACUGGUUUGUUAUAUAUAAUAGAAACAGAAUACUGUUUUUAUGUGUAUAUAUUAUAUGUAUUACUUAGCGCUUUCACUAUCACCGUUUAAGGAAAAAGUCACUGUUCACAGCUCAACAUUCAAAAUUUUUAAAUUUUACAUAAUGUGACAUAUUUUUACAUAUAUAGUAAUAAAAGCUGCCAAGUAGACAACGCGAUUUUUAGAAUCGCACACAUAUGUGUAACGCUGAGCUGUGAGUAGAUUGCUUCUUCUACAAACCACUUGUCACACAUAUCUAGAUAUGUAAGGUAUUGUAUUGUUACCUAUUUAACACACACGAUACUACUGAGACAAAGUCAAUAUACGAGUUUCGACGACGGACUCAAUAAGGACGGAAACCUCCAUGUUUACAUUUUUCUGUCGACCGUUCGAGAGAUUUGCGAGUGUUGUGUUACAAUGUCUCAUGUUACACGUGUGGCUAUUUGCACAAAAUUUGAUAUUCUAUGUAUUCCAAACAAUUUUAUGUACAAUCUUUGUCAAUCGAGAAGAAAAGUUUAAAAUAAGUGAAACAAUGUGUUGCAGUGUCGGAUUAAUGAUAAUUUGGCGUUGUUAUAAUAAAUAGAAAUGGUAUCUUAAACGAAAAUAAAUAAGAUUUAUCCUAAAGAAAAUUGAAACACAAUAUACAUAGCAUACGGUCACGAACGAGAAUAUUGGCACACUGUUAAAGGGUGAAUAACUUUUUUUAAAUUGGAUUAAACGAUUUGAGCCUUUUUGAGAAGUGAGGAGGAUUAGUUUAUCAGAUGAUGUGGCAAAAGAUCUUUGAAAAAAUUGCAGUUGAUCGGAAUCGCAAAGGAAAUAGUGAAGGCUGUAUGGAGGAGUUCAACAGCUGCGAUGAUGGAAAUUUGGAGAAUGGGAAUGUAAGUUUGGAGGAGAUUACAAAAGACAUAUUUAAGACAUAUUUAACGUCAUGGUGAAGAGUAUAAUGAAAUAUGGGGGACAGAAGAAAAAAGAGAAAUAGAAGCAGUACAAGAAAGGUAUCUAAGAGCAGUAUUAGUGACUGGAGAGGUGCACACCUACAGUAGGAUAUUUAGACAAGAAACGAAGACGGAGAAAAUACUUCUGGGGUCAGGAGAAAGGUACAUAAAAUAUGGAGAUAUGAAGAAGAGAUUAGAAGAUCAGAAAACUCACUACUUGAGGAGUGCAGAAGGGUCAUUGAUAGGGAAAAAUGAAAUAACAUGAGCCAUAGAAUAGCAAGAGAGAGAUUUAAAGGAAAAUAGGAACGAGCAGAUGGGAAAUGGAAAACAGAAAUAAUCUUUCGUUUAUUACAUAUACAUGUAAGUGUGAUUUAAACUAUAUCAUGUUUAAUCUCAUUUUAAUCAGAAGAAUGUCGCAAAUGCGUGGGUAUAAGAUUAAAUUCGAGAAAAUCGAAAAUAAACAAGUUCCAUCAUCGUCUCACGGAUAAUUAGUGAUUUUUCAUAGACCAUUGAAUACAAUAGAUCAGGUUACGCUACUCAACGUCGAGCUCCGUGCUGUGUUGAAGCGAACAACAUUAGAACCGAUGACGGCCUAUCAAUUAGGAAGAAAGAAAGUAUGUACCUACGAAAGGAAGGGAAAGUCAAGAAGAUAAAGAUAACAAAGUUAGGUUCGGAUUAGGGAACGAGUGGAGGAUGAGUAAACUCCGGAUGAGGAGAAGAAGGAAUGCGGUAUAUAUGGGAAGGGGGAGGGAAUAGGAGAACACGUUAUAGCGCAAUGUGAAUAUACAACAAUGGGUGAACGAACAGAGAUUCUUAUCGAAUAAGAGGCUAAUGGAAUAGGAUGGAUGAAGAAGGUGACGGAUAAAAGAGGAUGAGUAAAUGAAUCCCAACAGGGAACAAGAGUCUAUAAUACAUUUUGGUCAACAUCGAGCGAACAGUAUAACAUGAUUCUAAAGUCCCUGUAGAUCAUUUUACUACACGCGGAUUAUAGAUUACAUCGCAGUAAGGGAAGACGACGUAAUGUUGAAGACAAGAAGCGUGUUAGGCGUUUGGAAUUUUUUUACUAUUGUUCAUCCUUGUCCUUAAUUACUUCGCUUUGUUGUAAUAAAUACUGAAAUAAAAUGUAUUACUACGACGUAGUAUAACCUACAAACCGA